rnacentral:tRNA from 1 species
GUAGCUCAGUUGGUUAGAGCGCUUCCUUGACACGGAAGAGGUCGGUAGUUCGAGUCUACUCGGGUCCACCA